rnacentral:misc_RNA from 1 species
GGUUUGAUUAUGGCUCCAGAUUGAACGCUGGCGGGAUGCUUUACACAUGCAAGUCGAACGGCAGCACGGACUUCGGUCUGGUGGCGAGUGGCGAACCGGGUGAGUAAUGUAUCGGAACAUGCUGGCGAGGGGAUAACUACGCGAAAGCGUAGCUAAUAUACCGCAUACGCCCUUCGGGAAAGCGGGGGACCUUCGGGCCUCGCACUAUUAGAGCGGCCAUUAUCGGAUUAGCUAGUUGGUGGGGUAACGGCUCACCAAGGCGACGAUCCGUAGCUGGUUUGAAGGACCAGCCACACUGGGACUGAGACACGGCCCAGACUCCUACGGGAGGCAGCAGUGGGGAGCCGGACAAUGGAAGCCACAGUCCAGCCAUCCGCGUGUGCGAUGAAGGCCUUCGGGUUGUAAAGCACUUUUGGCAGGAAAGAAACGGCACGGGAUAAUACCCCGUGCAACUGACGUACCUGCAGAAUAAGCACACCGGCUAACUACGUGCCCAGCAGCCGCGGUAAUACGUAGAGGUGCAAGCGUUAAUCGGAAUUACUGGGCGUAAAGCGUGCGCAGGCGGUUCGGAAAGAAGAUGUGAAAUCCCAGAGCUUAACUUUGGAACUGCAUUUUUAACUACCGAGCUAGAGUGUGUCAGAGGGAGAGUGGAAUUCCGCGUGUAGCAGUGAAAUGCGUAGAUAUGCGGAGGAACACCGAUGGCGAAGGCAGCCUCCUGGGAUAACACUGACGCUCAUGCACGAAAGCAUUAAGGAGCAAACAGGAUAGAUACCCUGAGAGUCCACGCCCUAAACGAUGUCAACUAGCUGUUGGGGCCUUCGGGCCUUGGUAGCGCAGCUAACGCGUGAAGUUGACCGCCUGGGGAGUACGGUCGCGAGAUUAAAACUCAAAGGAAUUGACGGGGACCCGCACAAGCGGUGGAUGAUGUGGAUUAAUUCGAUGCAACGCGAAAAACCUUACCUACCCUUGACAUGUCUGGAAUCCCGAAGAGAUUUGGGAGUGCUCGCAAGAGAACCGGAACACAGGUGCUGCAUGGCUGUCGUCAGCUCGUGCCGUGAGAUGUUGGGUUAAGUCCCGCAACGAGCGCAACCACUUGUCAUUAGUUGCUGCGAAGGGCACUCUAAUGAGACUGCCGGUGACAA